GACUCCAAGGGCCCUACAUAAGGAACAGUAGGAAAACCAAGUAGUCCAGAGUGGCUACAGGAUAAUAGAAAUGCCUAGAACUGUGCUUCCCAGCAAGUAGAACAGAACAGUAGGAGGGCACCUCUGUGAGAUUCUGAGAAGAAUGGCAGGCACUGAAGUAAAACCUUAGCGAGAUUAACCUGGCAAUCUUGUACAGAAACAAUUCACACUGGGAAGAGGAAAAAGUGAUUAACUUUGAGACUACUGUUGAAACCUGAAUCCACAGGAAGAGGUUAAGGUUUGGGAGUGUGGGAGAACUUAGGUAAGUUUGAGAAUCUAGAAGAAUGAUAGUGCCAAG
rnacentral:lncRNA from 1 species